rnacentral:lncRNA from 1 species
AUUGGCCCUUGACCAGCCUGAUUGGUUGCAGGAGGGGACCAAUCAGAGGUACCUCCCAUUUUUCAUCUGCAGCCCAAUGCAAAGUAAUGACAUGGAUCUGGAGAGAUUCUCUUAGGAGAGAAUCUGGCUAAGUGUCUAGCAGGAUGAUUGAUUAACAAGAUGUUUUGUUUUCAUCAUCUCAGAGAUAAGUACAACUAUUCUGUCAUCUAAUCUGCUAACUCCUACAUUAUCAAUACGCUGUAUUGAGGUAUAAUUGAUAUGCCAAAUAACUGGACACAUUCAACUUGUGCAAUUUGAUGAGUUUGGAGAUACACAUACAUCUGUGAAACCAUCACCAAAAUCAAGAACAACUUUCUCUGAUCUCUGUGGACAUGCUUAAAAUGGCUGACUCACACAGCAAGACUAUUUAACUGUGCCUAAAAUCAACCCACAUUCAGAUGCUAACUGUAAUCCUAUUCCCUGAUCCAUCAGGAAAAAGAGUCUGAUUGACAUAACUUGUCAAGUGUUCGCCCCAGCUUCUAUCAACUAUGGGGAAGGAAGGGCCAGAAGAGGUGUAACCAUCAUGGCUACCAGAGUACAUGGUUUCCAGGCCAAAUACCACAGUGUUCCAGGCAAGGAUGUGGUCAGUUUCCUUCUCUGCUGGAUCCCAAAGCCCAGGGCAGCUCUUGCACAUAAUGGAACACAAACGCCUGGUACAUGGAUGCUACAAUGAAAAGAAUAUGGGUGCUGAAAUCAGAGAGAAUCAUCCAAGAUGAUCCUUAUGCAUGCUGAACUCUGAGAGCCACCAGUGAAGAAGAUAAGUGACCCAUCUACCUGUAGCUGGAAAAUAAAGGCUCUUUGGGAUUCUUUCCCAUGAGUCUUCAUUUCACCAUAUUGGUGAGAGAAGGCAUUCAGGCCCAAUAAUUAACUGAACAUUAGCUGUGUACCAGACACUGUGGUCGACAUUGAGAUAUAACGGAUUUAAGAAAGUCUUUGUGGCUGUGGUGGCUUCAAAUCACUCCCGAGGCUUUAGAAGAAUAUAAUUGCCGUUCUAAGAAGAAUCUGAGGCCUCUAGGAGAUCUGCCAGUAGUGGCCCCAAUGUAUAACAGCACUAGCUCAGUGAAGAGAGAGAGAAAAGAUCUGAAGAGAGUGGUUGCAGUUUGAGCUCUGUCAAUGGGACAGUCCUGGGCAGGAGACUGGGGAGAAGAGGCGGCUUGCUGGUUUUCCUGAACCACUUCCACCCUGAAAGACUCCUUGCAUACAAUCAUCAGAGAAGAACCGUGGGAACCAAGAACCAUGAGCAGGAGAACCAUGAGCACACUGUUCGCAAUGGCCAAGAUUUGGAGGCAACCUAAGUGUCCAUCGACAGACAAAUGGUUAAAGAAAAUGAGGAAGGAAUAUCAAGAAAAUAGACUACAAAUAAAUGUCUUUUAUUUCUACUUCUUCAAUAUAUAUUAUAACAUUCUUCUUGCCAACUGAUCUUCUUGCCUCCAAUUUGACCCCUCUGAUCCACCAAGUAUUGCAUACUACCGUGUUUUGAGACAUAGGAGGAGGAAAAAACCAUGGCUGCGGAGGUGAUUUAAUAUCCUGUUGACUCUGAAGAAAAAUACACUUCUUCAUUAUAAGAGUUUUAUUGCCAAUGACUAGAAGGAAAUGUAAAGGGGACAACACAAGAUGACUAACACAGGAAGUUAUAAAACUCACAGCUCUAACUGUCAUGGCCCUGGGCCCAUGGUGCCUGAAUCCCUCUGGGAGUAUUAAAUGGAAGGCCCCCUGGUACCUGAAUUUUGUUUUAGUUUUCUCUCUCCAUCUCUGUGAUUACACAUAAAAUCAGCCAAGCACCUGCUCCCCUCCAGCCUAGAUAACACAUACCUCCAUGCUAUAAAGGGACAAUUUGACCAAGAGACACCCACCUCACCUGACCACAGAGCUGGAAAAUCUACUAUGUCAGACUUCCAUGCAACCGCUGGUGGGAGAAAGUUUUCACGAGUCUCUCUGGGCCCUUAUCCCUCUCCCCUGUAUUCCCAUCCUUAUCCAAAUCCACAUUUCACCAAACUCCCUAACGCUAAGCAGCUGUUGAAGUUCAGAUCACAGUCUCUGAGGAGCUCCUGGUUUCCCAUGGAAUGUGAUUUGCCUCAUCAUCUUACAGCCUGCCUCCACUUUGCUUUCUUAUCAUUUCAGAGGCUU